GGUGGGAUUGAUGGAUUUGCAGUAGGUAAAUCAAGUUAAUCAACAGCUCCCCACCAAGAAAGCAGCUGGUCCUGUAACUAGGGAACCGGCGCCUCUAUUUCCAGAUAGUACAAUCCUUUCUGGGUUUUAUACUCUGAAAAAGUAGAGGCUUGGGAAAUUAACAGGGAAAGGAGUUUUUGGAGAGAUUUUAAGCAUAUUCCACAGCAGCAAAAUUCCCAGGCAGUUACGCCAUUAAAGUGAUGUCCUUGGUUGAUUAUGGAUUUGCUUUUUGAUAUUCUCCUAAUGUUGAACACAAGCCAUACAAACCUGACCCAAGACUUUGUCAUGAUGGGACUAUUGAGUUCACAAGCAUUGAUGCACAUGAUGGAGUUUGUCCAUCACAUAGAGGGGAUCUAGAAAUACUUGGCUACUGCUUGUUACUAUGGUCUUGUGGCAGACUUUUAUGGGAGGAUCACAUAGAUGAUAAGCCAAAGGUGGCAAGUUUGAAGAAAAGGUAUAAAGAUGCUCCUAAUGACCUGAUUGAGAAUUGCUUCAAAGAAGAGGCACACCCAAAAUAUCUUCAAAGAUACAUGGAACUCAUUUAUAAAUUGUCAUAUGAUGGACCCCUCAAUACGAGAAAUUAAGAAAUUUAUUUAUGAAGGAACUGAAAGAUAACAGCAUGAGUGAUGAUGGAACUGGCCUUGACUGGAUUAGAGGAGGAGCAGGAGGGUUGAAAGGAGAGAAAAGAAAACAUGAUCCUAAACCAGGCAAUGAAUCUAAAAUGGUGCCAAAGGCUAAGGGUAGAAGAAUGGCAUGAAUUAUCUUGAACAUACCAUCUUCAGUUAACUCAUGGUGUGUAACAUUUUUUAUUGGAGCUGUUGAGUCAUAAGUCGAUCAAUUUUAUUUUUUAUUCUCUCACUGAUUUUAUAAUUUAAUUUCCUUUUUCUACUGUAAUUUUGACUGCAAGAUCUCUUAUUAUUAUAAUUAAUAA